rnacentral:tmRNA from 1 species
GGGGGUGACUGGCUUCGACUUCGGUAGUUGAUGCAGGGGAAGCGGGUCGAGGACCGCGGACGUAACCUCGUUAACACUGCGACCGCAAAACAAUAAGUGCCAAUUCUCAGCGCACUGAGUUCGCUCUCGCCGCCUGAGGCAGAGUAGAACUCUGUCGGCCUGGGGACGUUCCCGCCCCAGAGUCCGGCAUCGUUCAGGGGACUCACCGAUCGACAGCGGCCACGGGGGCCGAUCGGGACAUUGACCGUGGCUGGGCCCGUCAGCGACUUGCCUGUGUGAGCGCUGGGGCCGAGUAGAACGCCUAACAGGCUGCACCCGGAGAAGCCCUGUUGAUGUACUGAAGGACGCGGGUUCGAUUCCCGCCACCUCCACGA